GCUGUUGCAGAGGCAGCCAACUGCUCCAUAUUUGGCUUCUAUUACCCAUUUACAUGCUGGAGAGCGGAGAGGGAGCGAGCGCUGUACCGCAGACAUCAUUUCUACUACAGUGGUGGAGACAUCCCGGACCUGUGUCACUGCAGGGGGAAGGAAAAAAGCCAAACAAACAAAAAGCAGACCCAAGCCCCGUGAUCAGCUAGGAAGACAUUUGUGUGCGAGUCUCUCUCUGACCCCCCCACCCCCGCCAACCCCACCUCCACUGACACUUUACAUCACAUUGCAGGCCAAGCCAGAUGGGCAAGCAAUACAAGCUGUGAAUUUAUUCUUGACCCCGUAGGACAGUGACCACCAUCAGUUUUUUCUUCACCCUACAGUUAUGCACUGCCAAUAAGUGAAAAGGUCACGAGAAGCAGUAGCUGAAUUUUUCUGAAGUGCUUUACAGCAGGGAAAGUGGGGGAACCUCUUAAAGUGGUGUCU